rnacentral:ncRNA from 1 species
GAAAAAGCAAGGAAAGUGUCAGUAGAAAUAAUUUUUCUAUCAGAGAGAGGAGAUCAUCGGCUGAAAGUCACCUUUAGUUCAGAAUUAUUUUGAGAUUCCCACUGGAGCUGCUUCUCUGAAAACAGUAGGAGAUGCCGUUUGCUGCGCGUUAAGCAGAUGAGUGCCUGCAUAAGCAAAGAAGAUAUGCAGGAAACAGGGUGGUACCGCGAGAUAGCUUCGUCCCUUUU